CUGGCUGUCCACAGCCAAGGAUGGCCGCAGAAACAAACCAAAUCCAAAUCCAAUUGUCAGCUAAACAGCUUGUCACUCGCCCAUUGCCAUUCUGGGUCCUGCCGUGCCUGUAUUUCAUCAGCCUCAUCUAUUUCUUUCAGGAACAACGGUUCAGGUAUGAGAUGAUGAGGGCUUGCACUAAAGCAUUGGCAGUGACCUUAGCGAAGGGAGAAGGAAUGUAUGGACUGACUCUUCAGAAUAUCUUCUGCCUGGGCUUUGAGAUCUCCUUUCUAUUUUCAUUUGAUUUUCAUCCUUCACAAGAAGCACAAGGGACAAAUACAAAAAAGAGAUUUCAAAAGAAAUCCUGGGAAAGAAUAAUGAAAGAAGAUUCCAUCAAUUUUCCUGUCCCCAUGUACAACUGGCUACAAUGAGGUGAUAUUAGUCUCAUCUGUAGAAGCUCUACAUUUUGUUUCUGGAUCUUUUUUUCUAAUUCUGUGAUUUUAUCUAUUAAAAGUCUGCUUUGUUCAGACAUUAUGGCCUCCCAUUCCUUCUUUUGCUCCAUUAUCUCACAUUCCUGGGUAGCUUCCACCUCCCUCAGUGUGACAAGGAAAUCACUUUAAAAGACUGAUAUAUAUUAAUUUAAGGUCGCCAAGGAAUUCAGCUAUGUAAUUCCUAAAUGAAAACUCAAGUCAGCAGUCAACCUUUUAUGGAGUUUAAUUACAAACAGGAGGAAGAAAGGUAUUAGAGAUAGAGAGAGAGAGGGAGAGAGAAAGAAAGGGGAGAGAAGGGAAUAGGGCUUAAAUACCUCCUCUGUUUAGGCUGGGCCAAAAGGCCCAAGCCCUUAGAUAGCUGAGGCAAAGAAAAGAGAUCAGUCCCUAUCACUCACGUGACCAAAAUGGAGAAACAGUCUCAGGGGCCUCCACCUCCAGCUUCCUUCAGAGCAAGCUUUUCAGAGCACAACCUCU
rnacentral:lncRNA from 1 species